rnacentral:rRNA from 1 species
CAUUUGCCUUAUAAUUGAAGGCUAGUAUGAAUGGUUUGACAAGAAUGUAGCUGUCUCUUUAUAAUUAAAUAGAAUUUUAUUUAUAGGUGAAGAAGCCUAUAUUAAAUUAAAAGACAAGAAGACCCUAUCGAGCUUGAAAGAAACUAGUAGAGUAAGAUAAUUAAUGAUAUCAGAAAAUUUACUAUUAGAAAUUUUAGUUGGGGCGACUAAGGAACAAAAAAAGCUUCCUUUAAAAAUUAAAAACUAAACAAGUAUUGAUCCAAAACAUUUUGAUUAAAGGAAUUAGUUACCGUAGGGAUAACAGCAUUAUCUUUUUUAAGAGCUCUUAUCGAAAAAAAGGUUUGUGACCUCGAUGUUGGACCAGAAUAUCCUAAAGAUGCAGCAGUCUUUAAGGGUUGGUCUGUUCGACCAUUAAAAUUCU